UACGUAGGGGGCAAGCGUUGUCCGGAAUCAUUGGGCGUAAAGAGCGUGUAGGCGGCCCGGUAAGUCCGCUGUGAAAGUCCAGGGCUCAACCCUGGGAUGCCGGUGGAUACUGUCGGGCUCGAGUCCGGAAGAGGCGAGUGGAAUUCCUGGUGUAGCGGUGGAAUGCGCAGAUAUCAGGAGGAACACCAAUGGCGAAAGCAGCUCGCUGGGACGUUACUGACACUGAGGCGCGAAAGCGUGGGGAGCGAACAGG
rnacentral:rRNA from 1 species